rnacentral:rRNA from 1 species
GUGCCUACGGGACGCAGCAGUGAGGAAUAUUGGUCAAUGGGCGCGAGCCUGAACCAGCCAAGUAGCGUGAAGGAUGACUGCCCUACGGGUUGUAAACUUCUUUUAUAAAGGAAUAAAGUGAGGCACGUGUGCCUUUUUGUAUGUACCAUAUGAAUAAGGAUCGGCUAACUCCGUGCCAGCAGCCGCGGUAAUACGGAGGAUCCGAGCGUUAUCCGGAUUUAUUGGGUUUAAAGGGAGCGUAGGGGGAUUGUUAAGUCAGUUGUGAAAGUUUGCGGCUCAACCGUAAAAUUGCAGUUGAAACUGGA